rnacentral:rRNA from 1 species
UGGGUAAUCUGCCCUCGAUUCUGGGAUAGCCCGGGGAAACCCGGAUUAAUACCGGAUAGCCUCUUUAGCUUUCGAGCUUUUGAGAAAAGGUAGCUUCGGCCUCCGAUCGAGGAUGAGCCCGCGGCGGAUUAGCUAGUUGGUGUGGGUAAUGGCCCACCAAGGCGACGACGGGUAGCCGGCCUGAGAGGGUGACCGGCCACACUGGGACUGAGACACGGCCCAGACUCCUACGGGAGGCAG